rnacentral:rRNA from 1 species
GACGAACGCUGGCGGCGUGCUAAACACAUGCAAGUCGAACGGUAAGGCCCUUCGGGGUACACGAGUGGCGAACGGGUGAGUAACACGUGGGUGAUCUGCCCUGCACUUCGGGAUAAGCCUGGGAAACUGGGUCUAAUACCGGAUAGGACUCCGGACUGCAUGGUCUGGGGUGGAAAGCUUUUGCGGUGUGGGAUGGGCCCGCGGCCUAUCAGCUUGUUGGUGGGGUAAUGGCCUACCAAGGCGACGACGGGUAGCCGGCCUGAGAGGGUGACCGGCCACACUGGGACUGAGAUACGGCCCAGACUCCUACGGGAGGCAGCAGUGGGGAAUAUUGCACAAUGGGCGCAAGCCUGAUGCAGCGACGCCGCGUGAGGGAUGACGGCCUUCGGGUUGUAAACCUCUUUCAGUAGGGACGAAGCGCAAGUGACGGUACCUACAGAAGAAGGACCGGCCAACUACGUGCCAGCCGCCGCGGUAA